UUAAUUUCAACUAAGUGAGUUGACUAAAUUAAUGUUGCGGACCAUUUUCCAAUUUCCAUGCGGUAUCCCUAUUUUUUUUCUCGCUCAUCUUUUAUGUUUGUUUUUUUCAUCCAAGACCUCUUGGAGCUUUCAUUCUAUAAAGUGUGUAUUUUGCUAAUGGUCGAAGGACAUACGGGGACCUAUAGCUUGAUAACGCCUGUUGGUCCCUGGAAAGAAUGUGUCUGAUUGCCUAUCACACUUCAUAUUCUUAUUUUAACAUGCAGUUAUAUCUAUGAUAAGAAUGAAAAUUGAAUUGUCAUUGAGACAAAAACCAACCAAAGAGCAAAAAAAAAAAAGAAAAAAAAAAGCCCAAGGCAACAUGUAGAUCUUUCGUAUCAAG
rnacentral:lncRNA from 1 species